GGUUCAGUUUUGUGUCGAAAGUGCGCCCCCUGUUGCCCUAAAGAAAACCGAGCCGGAUGUGCAAUUUGAAAUACAGCUUCGAGGACCGCGUUGGAUGCCUGGUUGUUCCAGAGAUGAGUGGCGACAACGUCAAGUUGUUUGUGGGAAACCUUCCUCUAGAUGCAACCCAAGACGAGAUCAACAAACUCUUUGCGCCCUAUGGGGAGAUCAACACCUGCUCAUUGCUCAGACAGUAUGCCUUUGUUACCCUGAAGGGAGAAGGAGCUGCUGAUAGGGCCAUCCGGCAUCUUGAUGGCAAGGAGUACCGAGGCAGACCCCUUGUGGUGGAGGAGUCACGCGCACGUCCCCCCAACUCCACCAAAGUGUUUGUGGGGAAUCUGAGUGCGACAUGCUCUGCUGAUGACCUGCACGGCCUCUUCUCGACAUUCGGAAGAGUUUUAGAUUGUGACAAAGUCAAAGCCCGAUUAUGUUCAAAUGUUGGCUAUGCAUUUGUGCACAUGGAAAGGAAAGAGGAGGCCAUGGCAGCAAUCGACGCACUCAACGGGACCAUUUUUAAGGGCCGGCAGCUGGCUGUAGAGCUCUCCAAAGCUCAACCUUUGGUCAACCAGCUUAUGACGUCUGGAAAUUCAGUCGGUGGUAGAGAGGGUCUGCUUCCUCGGCCAGCUGGCUCCAUGGAGCAUCACCAGAGUCAUGCUGCUGUGCUGGCGGCGGCUGCAGCAGCUGCUGCUGGACUUCCAAUACAAGUUCAACAAAGCGUCCAUAACUCGUUCUACAACACCACCUCCUUUGAUCCUACCUAUGCUGCCCUGAAAGGAAUUACAAGUUCAAAAGGCGCUGAUGGCGUCAUAUACGGCGCUCUCGCGAGCCAAGUUUACGGAUCCGUCGCCGACCAGGUGUACCAGGACAUAGCCAAUCACACCGUUCCGCCCACUGCGGCUGAGGAGUAUGAGACUCAUAGCACACCAGAUCCAACAACGCUUUUCGAGGCUGCAAGAGCUAAGUUCUUCCAGGAAGGACAAAAGGUUCUGGCCGAGCAGCAGGCAGGGAGAAAAACGACCGCAGCAACAAAUACAACAACAAACACGACGACAACCUCGGGAACAUCAGAAACUGAGCGAGACCGCAGCCCGAUCAGAGGGAACCGGAUGCCCUUGCUCCCGGACCCAUCUCCCGGUUCCUUCACUCAGAAUCGCACCAAACGCCGAGCUCUUCUGCCAACACCGCCCGGGGUAGUUGAAGACCCUGCAACUGCUGAAGGGACCGAUCCUGUUGCUAGGUCCUACACAGAAUAUUACCAGCAGAUGCAUCAGUACCAACAGUACCAGCAGCAGUACCAGCAGCAGUAUCAGUACCUCCAAUAUGCCUACACCAACCCUCCUCCGCCCCCUCCUCCACCGGCCACCACAGAUUCCUCCAGCUCAGUCCCGCCGCCCCCUGGGACGUACACAGCGUCACCAGCUUACUCAGCCACCCAAGACUACGGACCCCCGGGCACCUACGACCCCCCUGCCAGUUACAAUGCAUCAUCGCAGAGCUACUCCGGCAACUACGAUGCCUCGGCCGCCUAUGAUGCAUCGGGAGGCUACGGGGCGGCGGGAGCGUAUGAUACAUCCGGAGCUUACGUGCCGGCGGGAAGCUACUCCGCAUCCACACCCUAGAGUGGGAGGGAGCCAAACUCUGAGCCCUUGCCCUGGACGUGCGCCGCUGUAGCGCGGGAUGGGGGAAAACAGCAGCGUUAGGCUCCCCCGAAAACCGCUGUGGACGAUGGGGGGUGCCCUCCCCACUAAGGUAAACACUCAGACCACACACUCCUGCCCCGGCGGCCCCGAAACCCACCCCACCUCCAAUAUCACAGUUUGCAGAUGCUGACGCACACACAUCAUUGUCCAAAGGUCUUUUCAGGAAACUCCUGAUUUAAGUUUUCACCCUUUUGGAUGUUUUAUUUUGUUUUUUUAACCCCCCUGUCCAAAUCCACCAAAAUCAUUCUCAUACAUUCCUGCCCCCGAAGACCAUACAUGUGUGAUCUUUGAAGAUGGCGUCGAAGCAGGCACAUCCAGAGCUGAGGGGUAGGUCACGUCGUUAGAAUGGUCUCUUUUUUUUUUCCGCCCUUCUUACACUGGUCACUUGAGGGUCAAGUGCCUUGCUUUGACGGUAACACCGCUAGGCGCUCCUAUUCAGAGGCCGACACGAAGCUGGCGCAGGAUCGGUUGCUCGGUCAAAGCUCAACUCAUCCCCACGUUCCCUUUUCAAUCUCCCACCGUGACAGUUUUCAAUGCCACUCUCAACCUGUAUGACAAAUUUUCAUUUUGUUUUAAAUGAUAUUUUGUCCAAUGUUCUUUUGAAAUGUUUAAAAAUUAAUAAAAAAAAACAUCCAACCAAUGGUCUAUCUUUACUGUCUGGAUGCUGCUUUCUUUAGUGCGCACGCAGUCAUUAAAAAAAAAAAACUUGACAACGAAAGCAUUAGAUGACGUUUUAUUCCAUUACCUUCCAAAUACAUCAGCUCUUGCUUCAAACCUGCCAUGUCCAUUACUUUUUAUGCAAAUGAAAAAGGAGUAAAAUUGAGUUUCAUGCCCUCACAAACAGAUGGAGAUGUCAAUUGUGACAGUCAAAGCAGUCUACACAGAUGGUUAUAUAUACUGAGGUAAUAAUUCUAAGACAUCAAUGUUCUUCAGUAGACAAAGCAGCAUGAUACUGCGCGUACAGUGUGGCAUGACAUUUCUUGCUUUCAUGCUGGUUUUGGUAGACUUCCAUUAUGCAAAAACGAACAAUUACCAACUGAGAAAUUAUGAAAAGUUUCAACCUGAAAGAACUCCUUUCUAGAGCUCAAACUAGCUACAUUUAUCCUUUGACUCGUGAGAAUGCUGUGCCAAUUUUAUUAACCAUUUUUCAAGUGCCAUAAUUUUGUCUAUUUCGUGUGUGAAGAUCAAAGUUGCUGGUACUUUGUAUAAAGUGUGUCGUUCCAUUUAUCACGCUUUGGAAAACCUCUGGUGAGAAAAUUGCCACUGUGUCUUUGUUUUUGGGGUUAUGUGGAGUCAUGUACUCGCUAUCUUUGCAUUCGCUCCCCAUUUUUGAGGGAUUUCGAAGGACUAAAACUCCAAAUACUUGCACUGUGCUCCAACUAACAAACAUGUACUGUAGCUCUUGUGUCUCUUUUAGGAAAUGGCGGAGAAAAGGAACAAGAGCGUGACCUGACAAGGUAAUCUGUGUGUUACAAAAAUAAAGUUUAUAGAGGCCCGUUAAGAGCUGUACACUUGCAUGACCUGCUGUCUUUGAACUGUGUGCAAAGGAUCUGUUCACUUGUCUGACCUGCUGUGAUCGACCUGUGUGCAAAGGUCCUGUACGCUCGUAUGACCUAUGCUUUAAACUGAAAGUAACAGUUGAGGCUUCUCGUGCACAUUGCCCUGGUUUGAUGUAAUCAGGGCCGAGAAAGACAGGGAACAUUUUAAUAUCUGCUCAUGGGCAAACAGACAGGACGAGACUGGGCAAAAACACGUUAGAUACACCGCACAAUGUGGACCAGACUCAAGACACGUAUUACAGUACUUUGACUUUCAUCCGCAAAACCACCACGUGCUGCUGCUGGCAUUGGUAUGAAAAAGGAGCGAGCGUUCAAACACACAAACAUUGGAAAAUAGCAAGGCUUUAAUAAAGAUUGCAAUGUCCGGCUAGCUACAAUAGGGGUGAGGAGGGGGGCGGGGGGUUAAAUUGACAUUCAUGGAGUUUUACAAAGACGGUAACUGAGUUUGAAGUUCUUUGUGGGGUUUUUUGUUGUUUUUUUUAAAGCACAGUUUGCAUUCCAACAUAGAAGGCGGCCUUCAAACCGUUACACCCCCCCUUAUGUUGUAAAACUGUUGAUUUAUGAAUGUCGAUGAAUGGAAAGCCCCCCCCACCCCCCUCAAAAAAAAAAUCUGGUUCAAACACACGGAAGUGUAAGCUCACACCCAUGGUCAUGCUUUCACCGGGCACACGAGCCAAUAAAAAGACAACACUGAAUCAUGCAAAACAACCCCAAAAACUUCCACCUCCAAAUCAAAAAAUAACACAAACGUUAAGAGUUCCGAUCGUCCGUUGACUUAGUAGAAGCUGCGCUUUUGAUGAUGACUUUGGUGCAAAAAAAAAUGUUCCCGUUUCGAAGAGGACAGACCCUGUCCUGCCCUCUUCCUCGAUGAAGACACUCUUGGUGUAUAGACCAGUUGUGAUAGUUGAACAUAGACACCCCCCCCCCCCCCCCCCCGCCUCAUUCCCUUUCCUCCGGACACAAACAAACGUGGCUUAACAUCGACCCCUAAAUCCCACCAGCUCCCUGGACUAUGACACCUUGAAAAAAACACCACCACUCAAACACGGACACGGCAAAAAAUUGGUCUCACAUACAGUACGUCAUCCAAACACGUCUAAAAACACACAUGAAUAGCAUCGCCUAUAUACAGAGGACACAGUAACAAUCAGUUGGUGCUUGACUGAGAAAGAAAUAUUGGCCCCUGGAACGCAGUUUUGAAAUGGAGAGAAAAUAAAGAUUUGUCCAAAUUUCAGGCCGGAGUCUCUGUUACAGACUCGACACCAGAACGUAAUUGUGCCAACAAAGGAUGUUGACUCUUACGUUUUUUUUUUGUUAUUUUUGUUGCAGAGCUCCUGGAGCCACUUCAAACUGCUGUGUUUCACACACGUUUUAGACCUCGGUGCCUCUCACCAAGGUGCGUUCCAAGUACGUGAGUAGAAAACCAACCGCUGAUCGAUUAUUGCCCAGUUCGACUGUACUGUACAUCCCAGCAAUGAGUUUUUUUGUUUGUUUUGUUUUUUGUGCAGUCAAAAGGUUUUUGUGCUAUAAAGAUGAUCGCUCAUGACCCAAUUCACAUUUGUCGUCUCAUUAAAGCAUCUCAUCACGGGCUGUCCGAACUCAUCUAUCAGCGAUGGCCCUGAUCAACAGACAUUUGACGUAUCUCACUGACCUUUAGACGUCCAGCGCAUAAAUGUUCACACUAUGCUUCGACACUGCGGUAAUUACCCUUGUCUAGUUUUUCUUCUUGUGUUAAAACACAUUUCUUCUUUCUCAGUAUCGGAAGGGACAUCAUUUUAUACUCUUGGAGGGAGGGGGGCGGCUUUGACCUUUUUGGAUUGGUCUGGCAUUCAUUUAUAUAAAAAGAGCAUUACUGUACAUAAUCCUGAUGCGGACAUGGGUAUGACAAGAAAGACUUUUUUUGCAUGAUAUUGCACAGCCGCAGAGCAGAAAUGAAACAAACAAACAAAAAUGGUAAGAGAGUUGAGAUUACAACCAAAUUUUGCAAUUCCUGGUUGUGGCUCAGUGCUUUUUGUUUUGUCAGUAGUUUCUGGACAGUUGGCAAACGCGGUCCUGACAUCACGUAUCAAACAAGAAACAGACGACGCGUGUCUGGAAAGUUCCAGGACUGGUGUCACAGGAGUCAUAUAUGUUAGAAGGAUUUUCUCCAAAUAUAUUUCAAACCCGCUAACGCUCUCAGACAAAAGACGGUCCACUCCAAGGAUUUUGUCCUUGUUAUCAACCGGCUUUCCUGAAGAACAAACUCAGCAAUGUUGUUUGUGCUGUGCCGUGGUCUCACUUUUGUAGAGACAAAGAUGCCGUUGCACAGGCGCAUGGCGCAACAUUGACGAGAAACUUAUUAGGAUCCAGAGUCAGGGGUUCAUUUGCGUCAAGGGCAACAGCAUCCAAAUUCGGGGAAUCACCUUCAUUCGGUUUAAAUAUUCUUGUGACACCAGUCUUCGAACUUUUCUGACAUUGUUUUGGUGAGUGCCCCGAUCGACAAUCAUUAGACAUGUCUCACUGACCUUUAGACAUCCUAUGCAUAAAUGUUAUCCUUUUUCUUCCUCGGCACCAGAAAGGACCCUAUGGGGUCGGUGACCAUUUGUAAUGGGAGAGCAUUAAACCGGCGCUUGGUGCAUUUUGUCGACAUACAAACGGGGUUACUGUACAUAAUUCUGAUGCCGACAUGACUGUUGUGACACCACCUAACUCCUAAAAGACUUUUUUUUUUGCACAAUAUUGCACUGCAGCCGAGGGGGAAACGAAACGCAAGUUGUAAAAGAGCUUUGAUUACAUCCAUAUUUUGCAAUUCCUGCUUGUGGCUCAGUGCGUUUUGUCAGUAGUUCCAGUGCAGUUUGCAAACACGGUCCUGACAUUAGGUACCAAAAGAGACACACACACGCGCACACACACACGCACACACACACAAAAGCAUGCCCCCUGCACUACGCCCCCCAAAACCCCACACCAAGUUAGUCUAAUGUGUAGUUGGCAAACUAGAACAAAUUCGGCUACAAAACAUUAAUGAUGCGGAACAUCGACAUGUAAAAACGCUUACAAAAAUCUGAUGAUAUCCGACAUCAAGUUGAUGGUUGGACCAAUGGAUACAAGACGAUAAAAAUCUCCCGCAUGGGACACACGCGUACACACGCACACCCUUGGCAAAGUUCACAUGGAGUAAAGUGCCAACAAACGAUCCAGUUUCUUGAACUCCAGGACAGGGAGGGUUGAAUUGGAGGUCGAGGGUCAGGAGGUGGCAAUGGAGCAGCUUCGGUGGUCGUAACAUCAUCAAAGGUCGUUUUCGCCAAAUCAAACGGUGUGAGCUGUGAGUGGAAUAUCGGCGCUGAGCUUCAGGCGCCUCAUGGGAGUUUUUAGGGGGUGGGGAGGGGACCGGUUGGCACAGGGUUGGGAAAACGAAGAUGACUGAGUGUUGAAUCUUUCUCCUCCUUCUGUGUCCCCUUCUUUCUUCCUCUGCCAUCCUUCUGUUGUUUUCACUCUUCCUCUGUGGCGCUCUUAGCUCUGCUGCCAUGGUUACAGUAUUGUCUCUACAUGAAGUGCAUCUACAGACAAAGGAGAGAGACAGAUUGAGGGGACUCACUGGUUGUUGACGGCUACAAGGGGUGAGCUGGAGAACAGGUCCGUGGCUCCUCCACUGCUGUUGGCACUGCCCACCGAUUGCGUGCUGGGCGACACGUUGGGCGUCUGGAUAUCGAUCAUCUUAUGGCCGUCAUCCUGCACGUAUGAAAUUGGGGAUCAGUCUGUUGUCCUCUGCCUUGUCGUCCAUUUGACUGAGGGAAAUCCCGGUGCUGGAGAGGGAUGACACCGUGCUGGACAGAGUGCUGGAUCUUACAAAGUGAGUUGAGAUGUAAAGCGGGAGAGGGGGGAGGAGUGGA